UUUAGCCAAAUAUGCUCAGGAACAUCAUUUGUCUCCGGUGCAUCAGAGUGGUCGCCAGGAACAACUGGAAAAUCUGGUAAACCAUUAUCUGUUCGACAAAUAACGGCUAACUGUGCAGUCCGUUGGCCCGGUUAUCGGUAGCGAUACCGGGCAUUUUUUU
rnacentral:sRNA from 1 species